rnacentral:lncRNA from 1 species
UUGGUCAUCGCGCUUGGUUGAAAAGCCAGUGGCGCGAAGCUACCGUGCGUUGGAUUAUGACUGAACGCCUCUAAGUCAGAAUCCGGGCUAAAAGCGAUGCGUGUGCCCGUCCCCCGUUUGCCGACCAGCAGUAGGGAGCCUCGGCCCCCCAGAGGCACAUGUCGUUGGUGACCCCCGCGGGGUGGACGAGCCUCGUGGGAUGCAUUGAAGCGCUAUUCCCCACUGGGCAGCGGGUAGAAUCCUUUGCAGACGACUUAAAUACGCGACAGGGUAUUGUAAGUGACAGAGUGGCCUUGCUGCCACUAUCCACUGAGAUUCAGCCCUUGUCGCUUCGAUUCGUCCCUCCCAUCUCAAACCUUCUUCCGAGCUAGGUCGUACACCCUACGGGGGUUACGAACCCGCACCUCGUACGGGCGAGUAGGUGCAAAGUCCGCGUUCCGCAAGCACACGGUAGAGACAAAGUCACUUACAAUGUGGAGUGCGGCAUCGCCUCUGGCCAUGCCCCAUGGUGCCUUGUGUGUGGUUCAUGGUGUCCGGUGGUUGGGGUGCUUUGUGCAUGGUGUGGUUCCUCGUGCGUGAUCCCGAGUGCAAGGUGAAAGAGAGGCCAUGACACAUGUGUCCGAGUGCUACUAGGUGAAAUUGAGGCCAUUACACACUUUCCGAGUGCUAGGUGAAAGUGACCCGUUCAGUGGCACACAUUCCGAGUGCUAGGUGAAAGUGACCCAUCCGUGGCACAAGUUCCUAGUGCUAGGUGAAGGUGACCCAUGCCAUGGCACAUGGUCCGAGUGCUCGGUGAAAGUGACCCAUGCCAUGACCCGUGCCUCGUGUGGGAUUCUUGCUUAUCUCGCAUUCCCUAUUUCAGUGAAAGCAUCGUAAGACGCCGGCCCCUUCAUGAAAUUCCUCCAUAUUUGGAGGGGAACCCAAGGGGAACCCGGAAUUGUUUUGCCAUGGUUGCCUGCAAAGUCUCAAGUCGGAAUUCAACUCCUAGGCGAUGUUGCCCGUCAUGGCACCAGGGCGUGUGCCGCACUUUGGUGGAAAAUCGUUUGAGGGAGAUGCCUCGAUGUUACGUGGGCGUAACUUUGGGAAAUGUUUAGGAAUGAUAUUCCAAGCAUUCCUGCAAAAGAACAGCUCAAAAAACAUGGUACACACUCAUUUUCUAAUUUUCGGGAAUUAUGUAAUGCUCGCCGCUUAGAAAAAUCACGAUAAAUUAUCGGCUUGGGGAAAAAUCGUGAAACUUCGUGGACCACCUUCUCCCAUUUUUAAGAGCACGUGUGCAAAAAAUCAGGGCAAAAUUCGACCUCUAGCCUAAAAAAACCCAGUAUGUCUCCCCAGAGAAAAGGAUGUCUGGUGGUGUAGAGUGGGUUUUUGCAUAUUAGCCUACUAUAGGGGGGAAGCUGCCUGUCUGCCCACGCACCUUGGUGGGUCAGGAUGGCAUGCCAUGGGGCUCCCCCCAGCGCCCCAGCAAGCUGUCCCAGGCAUGCUGGUGCGUUUUUCCAUGGUGUUGUGGGCAAUUUGACCGAGUCGUCAUCCAUGCCGAAUCCCGGUCGCACGCGGCCAGGUGCAGGCUGGUGCUUUGGCUUGGUGUUGUUCGGGCACGUAGGACUUAUCAGGGAUGCAUGAAGGGCUUCGACAGUUCCUCGUGGACCAACACGGAUUUCUUGAUGCAUGAGUCCCUCUUGUGGAGGUGCCGGCUUCGUCACACAUUGCCGAGUUGGGUAGUUGCGGGCAUCGGUCGGACGUGCCGAGACUUCAAGUGUUGCCAUAUUUUUGGGGUCUAGUUCGUACACCCAACGAGGGUUAGCAACUCGUGUGUGCGAUUAGUCGAAUUGGUGCAACGAAAAUCCAUGAUGGACACAUAGUCCCUUAUUCGAGUGGUAGGUGAAUUAGACCUGUGCCAUACACACUGUCCGAGUGGUAGGUGAAAGUGGUGGCACAUGUUCCGAGUGGUUGGUGAAAGUGGCCCGUGCCUCACAUGAGAUUCUUGCUUCAGUCGCAUUCCCUAUUUCGGUGAAUGCAUCAUAAGACGCCGACCCCUUCAUGAAAUGCCUCCAUAUUUGGAGGGGAACCCGGAAUUUUUUUUCCAUGGUUGCCUGCAAAGUCUCAAGUCGGAAGUCAACUCCUAGGCGAUGUUGCCCGUCAUGGGACCAGGGCGUGUGCCGCACUUUGGUGGGUCAGGAUGGCAUGCCAUAGGGCUCCCCCCCAGCGCCCCAGCAACCUGUCCCAGGCAUGCUGGUGCGUUUUUCCAUGGGGUUGUGAGCAAUUCGACCGAGUCAUCUUCCAUGACGAAUCCUGGUCGUACGUGGCCGGAUGCAGGCUGGUCGUUCGGAAAAAUGUGUGCAUCGAGUUGGACAAAUUCGACACCUAGGACUCGUUUACGAUGCAUCAAGGGUUUGGCUUCUGCCUCGCGGUCCCACUCGAAAUUCUUGAUGCGUCCGUCUCACUUGUCGAGGUUCCGGUUUUGUGACUCGGUGACGGGUUGGGUAGUGGCGGGCGUUCCGAG